GACGAACGCUGGCGGCGUGCCUAAUACAUGCAAGUCGAACGCUGAAGGAGGAGCUUGCUUCUCUGGAUGAGUUGCGAACGGGUGAGUAACGCGUAGGUAACCUGCCUGGUAGCGGGGGAUAACUAUUGGAAACGAUAGCUAAUACCGCAUAAUAGCAGUUGUUGCAUGACAACUGUUUGAAAGGUGCAAAUGCAUCACUACCAGAUGGACCUGCGUUGUAUUAGCUAGUUGGUGGGGUAAAGGCUCACCAAGGCGACGAUACAUAGCCGACCUGAGAGGGUGAUCGGCCACACUGGGACUGAGACACGGCCCAGACUCCUACGGGAGGCAGCAGUAGGGAAUCUUCGGCAAUGGACGGAAGUCUGACCGAGCAACGCCGCGUGAGUGAAGAAGGUUUUCGGAUCGUAAAGCUCUGUUGUAAGAGAAGAACGAGUGUGAGAGUGGAAAGUUCACACUGUGACGGUAUCUUACCAGAAAGGGACGGCUAACUACGUG
rnacentral:rRNA from 1 species